rnacentral:rRNA from 1 species
UGGGGGAUAUUGCACAAUGGAGGAAACUCUGAUGCAGCAACGCCGCGUGAGGGAAGAAGGUUUUCGGAUUGUAAACCUCUGUUUUUAGUGACGAAGAAAAUGACGGUAGCUAAAGAGGAAGCCACGGCUAACUACGUGCCAGCAGCCGCGGUAAUACGUAGGUGGCAAGCGUUGUCCGGAAUUACUGGGUGUAAAGGGUGCGCAGGCGGGACUGCAAGUUGGAUGUGAAAUACCGAGGCUUAACCUCGGAGCUGCAUCCAAAACUGUGGUUCUUGAGUGGAGUAGAGGUAAGCGGAAUUCCGAGUGUAGCGGUGAAAUGCGUAGAUAUUCGGAGGAACACCAGUGGCGAAGGCGGCUUACUGGGCUCUAACUGACGCUGAGGCACGAAAGCAUGGGUAGCAAACAGGAUUAGAUACCCUGGUAGU